rnacentral:rRNA from 1 species
GUACGGGUAGUAACACGUGGAUAUCCACCUCUUAGUGGGGAAUAACUUUGGGAAACCGAAGCUAAUACCGCAUAAGCCUGAGAAGGGAAAGCAGCAAUGCGCUGAGAGAGGAGUCCGCGGCCGAUUAGCUAGUUGGUAGGGUAAAAGCCUACCAAGGCGAUUGAUCGGUAGCCGGCCUUGAGAGGGCACACGGCCACACUGGCACUAGAAACACGGGCCAGACUCCUACGGGAGGCAGCAGUGGGGAAUCUUGCACAAUGGGGGAAACCCUGAUGCAGCGACGCCGGUGAGCGAUGAAGCCCUUCGGGGUGUAAGCUCUUUCGGCAGGAACGAUAAUGACGGUACCCUGAAGAAGAAGCUGGGUAACUACGUGCCAGCAGCCGGGUAAAUACGUAGGCAGC